rnacentral:rRNA from 1 species
UACAGAGGGUGCAAGCGUUGUUCGGAAUUAUUGGGCGUAAAGCGCGUGUAGGCGGCUUUGCAAGUCGGGUGUGAAAGCCCUCAGCUCAACUGAGGAAGUGCGCCCGAAACUGCAGAGCUUGAGUGCCGGAGAGGGUGGCGGAAUUCCCCAAGUAGAGGUGAAAUUCGUAGAUAUCAGGAGGAACACCAGCGGCGAAGGCGGCGCUCUGGGCCGGAACUGACGCUGAGGAGCGAAAGCGUGGGUAGCAAACAGG